UUGACUUGGGCCCCUGGUGCGAGGACACGAGGCUUGACUCCAUGUUGAUCAGAAGGCUGAUUUAUUAUGAUAUAUAUUAUACUAAAAUGCUACAUUACAACUAUACUAAAAGAACAGAGAGAAAGAUCAGAAGGCUACAAAGACAAGAAUAGAAUAGGAAUGAAUAACAAAAAUCCUGUGACUGCGCACAGCCUUGGCACAGGUGGCUGUGAUUGGUUACUGAUUGAAAACAAUCCACAUGGACCAAUGGAAGAUUCACCUGUGGCACUCCACAGCAGCAGACAGUUAUGGUUUACAUUUCUUUCCUGGGGCCCUCAGCUCCUCAGGACAGGAAAAAUCCUAGCAGAGGCUUUUUCACUAAAAAUCCUGGCAACAGAACGUUGUCAAUACAAUUUUUGUGAAAUCUACAUGAGAAUCUGAGGAGAUUACUACACAGCUUGGAUGCUAGAGGAACUUCUGCAAAUAGGUUACAGGGUAUUUAUUUAACUGAUUCAGAACUUUGCUUCAGCUGGCAAUAGUUCAAGAAUUUUAUUUUCUAGUGUCUUUUGGUGGCCCACAUUAAAAAACAAAAAAAAAACCACAAAACAAAAAAAAAACAAAGAACAAGUUCUGUCCUUUUCCAAUUUCAAACAGAUAUUCUUUUUCUUUACCCAUGAAUUAUGACAAAGCAAGUGACGUUCAAAGUCAGCAUUCAGAAAGAGCCCUGAGAAGAGACUAGAUGUAUGCCAAUUCCCUCUUGCUAUUCAGCUGAUUUUAUAUACUAGCUUUCUGUGUCUCUAGCUUUUUAUAUGAUCUCUGUUACUACAGCCACUUCCAAAUCUUGGUAAAAAUUAGUAAUUUCUCCACCUUCACUUUGUGGGAAAUUGUGGGGGCAAAAAAGUAGCAUUGUUUAGUCCAAGUUCAAGCAGAAAAACAGAAAUUCAGAAAUACAUUCUGACCCUUGGCCAGUUUUAAUUUUUAUUUAACAGCACCCACAAGGACACCGUCCCCAAGUGAGGGGAGUGGGGCACGCAGAACUCACCGAUUGUGAGGUCACGGGCACAUCUCCAGGGAGGCCUGAGGAAGGAUUGGAAGGCUUUGUCAGGAGGAGAAAGGCCGGCAGUGCUGUGGCACAGACCGUCCAGACAUUCCUCCGUACCCACAAUGGUGCAGCAGAACGCUGCUAAGAAGCGUCCCCCUGGCAAGGAGCGAGAGGCAGACGCAGAGAGCGGCAGCUGCCUCUCCGGACAUGCCAGGCCGGACCAGGCUCGUCGCCUUGGAGACGUUCAUGGAGACAGCAAGCACAAGACUCGGGCAGCCAGAAAGGAAAACGC